CGUCGGAGCCGCUCGGCUCGCCGCUCCCCGCACCGCGCGCCGCCCGGGGCCGCAGACGGCGCUAGCGCAGCCCAGCCGAGCCUCGCGGGGCCGCCGCCAGCCCCGCCGGCCGCCUCCUCGAGCCCCUGGGGCUCCGCGCCCGCCCGCCGCGGCCCGCAGACAGCCCCGCAGGACCCGGCGGGCGCGCUGGCUCCUCCGCCGCGCGCGGUAAGUCCCGCCGGGCCGGCGCGCGAGCGCCCGGCUUCCAGAGGCUUCGGCCGCGGGCGCAGCGCCGCGCGCCCCGGGCAGCGUGCGGAGGCGCCGCCGCAGAGCCCCGGAGCCCCGGGCGGCUCUGAGACGCCGGGGCCGGGGACGCGGGCGCGGCGCGGGGUCGCUACGGAGCGCCCCGGCCGCCCCGAGCCAGUCCCCCGACUCGCCUGGGUUUUCCAUCUCUCGGUCGGAGAUCCGCGGCCGAGCGAGGCGGUGCGCGGCCGAGAGGAAGCCGGGCGGCGGGUGGAGGGCCGGGUCGGCCCGCGCGGGCGCCGGGGCAGCGCCCGGAGCUCGGCCGCCGGGCCCGCGCGUCCCCCGGCUCCGUCCCGGGGCCUCGCCGCGCCGCGAGCCUCUCCUCUCCGGGACGUUGCUGCCUCCCUUCUGUCUCCGGGCGUCUGUCUUCCCGUCUGGCUGUCCCCGUCUUUCGAUUUCCGUUCCCUCGCCCUCCGGAUCUGCCCUUCUCUUUUUCUCCCCUUCUGCCCGUUGCCCGUUUCCCUGGGCUGGUGCCUGCCUUUCUGUCUGCCCCCGCCCUUCGCCUGCCCUGCUGUUGGAGUCUCUCGCUCGCUCUUUCUGUCUCCCCGUGUCUGUGCGUCUCCCUGGUGCCCCCACCCUCAAUUCAGACAUUCCCCCACCGGAUCGGAGGCCCAGGGCCCCAGCGGAGUCCGGGAACAGUUUCCUAGACCCGGGAAAGGAGCGAAAGCCUCCCCACCUUCUGCCAGCCCCGCCGGCCGCCUCCUCGAGCCCCUGGGGCUCCGCGCCCGCCCGCCGCGGCCCGCAGACAGCCCCGCAGGACCCGGCGGGCGCGCGGGCUCCCCUCCGCCGCGCGCGGUAAGUCCCGCCCGGGCCGGCGCGCGAGCGCCCGGCUUCCAGAGGCUUCGGCCGCGGGCGCAGCGCCGCGCGCCCCCGGGCAGCGUGCGGAGGCGCCGCCGCAGAGCCCCGGAGCCCCGGGCGGCUCUGAGACGCCGGGGCCGGGGGGGACGCGGGCGCGGCGCGGGGUCGCUACGGAGCGCCCCGGCCGCCCCGAGCCGGUCCCCCCGACUCGCCUGGGUUUUCCAUCUCUCGGUCGGAGAUCCGCGGCCGAGCGAGGCGGUGCGCGGCCGAGAGGAAGCCGGGCGGCGGGUGGAGGGCCGGGUCGGCCCGCGCGGGCGCCGGGCAGCGCCGGAGCUCGGCCGCCGGGCCCGCGCGUCCCCGGCUCCGUCCUGGGGCCUCGCCGCGCCGCGAGCCUCUCCUCUCCGGGACGUUGCUGCCUCCCUUCUGUCUCCGGGCGUCUGUCUUCCCGUCUGGCUGUCCCCGUCUUUCGAUUUCCGUUCCCCUCGCCCUCCGGAUCUGCCCCUUCUCUCUUUUUCUCCCCUUCUGCCCGUUGCCCGUUUCCCUGGGCUGGUGCCUGCCUUUCUGUCUGCCCCCCGCCCUUCGCCUGCCCCGCUGUUGGAGUCUCUCGCUCGCUCUUUCUGUCUCCCCGUGUCUGUGCGUCUCCCUGGUGCCCCCCACCCUCGAAUUCAGACAUUCCCCCCACCGGAUCGGAGGCCCGGGGCCCCCAGCGGAGUCCGGGAACAGUUUCCUAGACCCGGGAAAAGGAGCGAAAGCCUCCCCCCACCUUCUGCCUGCCCCCCGGGGCCGGGCUGGGGGUCGUCCCCCUGGAAUUGA
rnacentral:lncRNA from 1 species